CAAUAGCGUAUAUUAAAGUUGUUGCAGUUAAAAAGCUCGUAGUUGGAUUUCUGUGAGAGUGCCGGUGUCGGCUGAUGCUUGUACGCAGGCGCUCUUACAUCCUUCUGUUAACUGUUCUUGGCAUUUUAUUGCUGGUUCAGGGCUCAGAUAUUUUACCUUGAGAAAAUUAGAGUGUUUCAGGCAGGCUUAUGCCGGAAUACAUUAGCAUGGAAUAAUGGAACAGGACCUGUGCGUCUCUCGGGGCGCCGGUCUCCGUUGUUGGUUUCGGGGACUAAUGUAAUGAUUAAUAGGGAUAGUUGGGGGCAUUAGUAUUUAAUAGUCAGAGGUGAAAUUCUCGGAUUUGUUAAAGACUAACUUAUGCGAAAGCAUUUGCCAAGGAUGGUUUCAUUAA
rnacentral:rRNA from 1 species